rnacentral:lncRNA from 1 species
AUGGACUUUGCGAGGGUGGCCCAGCUGGACCCAUCUUUGGCCGCUGCUGUGCGGAAAGAGCUGCGGAUCUUGGGGGAGAGGAUGAGGCAGAAGCACGUGGAAGACCGCAAGAGAUACCAAGGCCUCUUCCAGCCCUCUUCUCAAGGGAAAACCGAGCAGAAAGUGAUGGAAGAGAGCGAAGAGAGAAAGGAAGACCUCCCUGACGAUGUCCACCGGGCAGAGAUGGAUGAAGGGAAGGAAGAUGCCUCCUCAGGGCCAAAGAGAGAAGGUCAAGAGAUGGGUGCGAGGAAUGAAGAAAUGGUGGAAGAAGAGGAAAAUAAUGGAUCCUCAGAAAAUCCUGGUGGAAAGGAUACAGAUGAGGCUUCCCUUCAGAAAGAAAUUAAGAUUGAAAUAGGAAUCGAAGAACCGGAAGAAGAAGGACAAGUGCAGAGUUCUUCUAAAGGUGAUAUCGCCAAUGGUGAAACCUCUGAGAACAAUACUGGCCAAGAAGAAGAAAAUAGAGAAACAGAAGGAUCUCCAAGGAGACAAACAGGUGUCCAUGUUGUUUCUACAGGAAUUGUGAGAUCUCCAGGAAUCUCAACAAACAGUGUAGGAAAGGAGGACAUGGAAGGAUGUUGUGAAGCUGAGAUGGGCUUUGAAGGAGUGACUUCCCACAGAGAGAUGGGAGAUUGUGGAGAAGGAGAAGACCUCAACCUCAACAGCCAUUUUAAGGUUCAAGACAGUGUUGGCAGUGUUGAAGAAGAGACUAAUAAGGAAGGAGCAAGAGAGGAGAGUUCUGAGGAAAGCCAUGGAGGAGAUACUUUCCUUCAGGUCCAGGAUGAAGGUCCAAAGAAGGAAGCAGAGGUAUCAACAGAGCUGAAUUUGAAGGAGGAGGCAACCUGUGGCAAGGAAAAUGAUGGAGAGCCAUGCAACGUUCAUGAUGAGUGUAGAGAAGACACAAAGACUGGCAACCAUUCCCAGUCUGAAGAGGAAAUAUGUGGGUCUGCUCAGUGUGGGGCCAACACAGAAGGCAAUGGGGUGGUAGAUGGAGAUUGUGGGAGAGGAACACAAGAAGGCAUCAUGAGCAUCAGAGUGGAGGACUCCACUGAAGAGAGUGAUGGUGAAGGUGGAGAUGGACAGAAAGAUGGGUCCAGCAUUGGGUCACAAGGAGCGAUACAAGGGUAUGAGACAGAACAAGGAUGCUUUGAAGAAGAGAUGAACGUAAUGGAGGAGAGCUCUGCCUCAGGACAUGAAGGUCUGCAAGCACUUGGGAAGGUCUAA